AGUUAAAUCAAAUAGCUGUUGCUGUUCCUGCUACUAACCCCGGUAUACCAUCACAACCGGAAGGAUUAGAAUCUGCAAAUCUUGUAGACAUGUUUGAUGCAGGUAACUACUGGAGUAACCCCGUUGUGGAAGUAAUUACUGACCUUCUGCCGGUCAAGAGAGGCGAUCCAGGAUGCCCCGUCAUCCCGAUCUCCAUCAGCAUGGUGGACUUCCUAGAAGCACUCUGCGACUUUGGCUCCAGCGUCAACAUUAUGCUCAGAGUACUCUAUAAAAAAUUCUUUACACAUCCUUUACUAGAAACAACCAUGUGUUUGCAGCUUACAGAUCAGACACUAAGUUUCCCAAAGGGAAUAUUGAAGAACCUUUGUGUCCGAGUUGGUACCUUGUACGCCCCAGCAGACUUCGUGGUGAUAGAGACUGGUACUGAUGAGAGGGCACCCAUCAUCCUAGGGAGGCCAUUCCUAAACACCUCGGGAGCCGUCAUCAACGCUAGUGCUACCAAGAUCAGUUUCUACAUCAAGGGGAGGAAGGAGACGUUUUCCUUCAAGAACAAGACUACACAAAUCUCAGAGCAAUCGCGACAUGAACCAAGGAAGAGGACCAACAGGAGGAACAAGAACAAGCAAAUGUGGACCGAGUCAACUAAGAUGGUCACUACAGUUCAAGGAGGUCAAGAUCGUCGACUUAGGUCACCGUUCCUGACCAAAAAAGGAUGACCCAGGUAUACCAAGCAUCCAUUGCUCCAUUAAUGGAUACAACUUCUAGAAGACGCUUUGCGACACCAGGUCAGGCGUUAACAUAAUGGCCGCAGUCACCUAUCAGCUCUUGUUUGGAACCAUGCCCCUAAAACCGACAUACAUUCAGCUCCAGAUGGCAGAUCAGACAUUCCAAAAGGUUGAAGGUAUAGUAACUGAUGUCCCUGUCAAAAUAGACGAUCAUUUUGUCCAUAUAGAUUUUCAGGUUAUUGACAUGGGAGAAGACGAGUAUGAUCCACCCAUCAUCCUUUGGAGACCGUUCCUCAGCACCAUUAAAACAAUCAUCUACAUUGGAACCGGAGAAGUCCACAUGCACUUCCCCUCUAAGAAGGUACGCCGCUAUUUUACUAACUCUAACUAUAUAGUUGAAGAGUCUAAGCAGGUCAGGACAAGAAAAAGACGACGCAACCGCAACCAGAGGAGGCAAAUCAUCAAGGACGGAUGGGCAGACUACGAAGGAGAAGUGGUAACGUCUGAAGACAUACAGCUUGAACAGAACUGUCCUGAGGAGACCGUAGCACCGAGUCAGGUGUAGAGAGAGAAGAUAGUUAUACACGAAGAGGAAGCGCCACCGGAACCACUGACUACGCCAUCCAGCGAAUCCCAGGACGACUAAGAAAACGGAGAGUCCCGUUCGGAGGACUUAAAAACACCGAACGCCUUGCGAAGAGGUAAACUUGGUAGUUAUCCUUUUCCCUUCAAUUAUUUAAAAUAGUUUGCUUAGUUAAUCAGGUUCAUAUCAUCUCGAAAAGAAAAUAAAAAUGUUAAAAAUAGUAAGCCCCAUGUGAGUAUGCUCAUGGCAUAAAACCCAUAAGUACAUUCACUGUGGUGGCGUAAAAAUAAAAUAAAUAUAUUCCUGUCCUAUAAAAAUAAAAAUAUAAAAAUAAAUUUAUGAUCCUACUAAAGAGAGUAACAUUUAUUGAGGAGGCUCAACAUGAUAAAGGCUAGAUAUUUAUGCUAACACUUAACUAGUUCCACAAAGCUUUGUUGUCUAUUUGAGCUCCACAGAAUUCAAGGAUCAAAGAAGACUAGCAGACGGAGGAUAUCCUAAUUGCUGUCAGGGUGCUGCCGACAUUCAAAUAUACCUCCACCACCUGCUAGCUACAUCAGAAGAAAUUACGUCAAAAUCCAGCUUGAGGAAAGCACCCCCAUUUAUCUAGCUAAGUGUUCUACUCACGUUUAUACUUUACUCAAAUAAUAAAAAGAUGCAUAAUCAUAAAAACCCAAAUAAAGAUUUGCUUAUAUAUAUAUAUAUCUUUGCUUAGUUUGCUAAAUAAAUAAAUAAAUAAAGUUUGCUAUGAACCCUCAUGAUAAGCUCUCACAUGGAAAUGAUGGAUAGUUGCUCUGCCAUGACUAGUUCUCAAAAUUGAAAUCUCUCUCAAGUUUAGGCAUGACUGUUAUGAAUUAAGAUUUGCUCUAAACCUAAACUUUUGGGAAGAGUACUUGAUCUGAAGUCUAAGUCGUUAACGGAUAUAAUAUGGGAAGGUUGAGCUACUGUUUAUCUGUUCCUGGAGAUGCUAGAAUUCUAGAGAAUUUUAUUUUUGAAAAUCUUUAAAAUGUUGCAUGAUGAGAGUUUAAAAUCCUACCACAGCCAUAUAUACAUGCUUAUUAGACCAUGAACCAUACAUUUACCUUUUAAUGCUUAUAAGCAUUGAGUGUGGUCAAGCUGUGUAGACCCUUAGGAGCUUGUCAUGUGUUUAAAAUCAAGAUUCACUUGCACGUUCAUUCAUACAUGCUGCUUCUACUCCGGAAGUACGCAUCCACAGAUAUCCACUCAUUUUCAUAUCCAAAUUCACCCAAAAUUAUUCUACUCCUAUCUAGGAGAGAAUAGCCAAAAACAUUAUCCUAUCCCUGUUAUUCCCCGUGAAAUAAAUGCUCAAGAUAUUUUGAUUACUACCACUUGCUACAUUAUUCCAGGAGGGUGAGUGCUCUGAAAAAAGUGAAUACGAGGAAAUAAAAAGGGGCAAGUGCCCGGAACCUCGAAAGAAAAGAAAAAGUGAGACGAGAGGUAAAAAUGGACAAGUGUCUGACAGUAGAAUUAGGGGUACAAGAUACCCACCUGAGAGAAAAGAAAAAUAAAAUAUAGAGCAUCUCAUUCCCCUCAAAAGCCUCAAGUGCAAGGAAGGUAUUUACCCCCUCAAAGGAGCAAAAGUAGAAUUAGACUUUCACCAUUAUUUUCACCAUUAUCACCAUUCAUUCGCCACAUAUGCACAUCUUGAUUUGACUUAUUGACUUGUUCUUCUGGAUCCAUGGUUUGACUAUGCAAUAAAUGUCUUGUAAGUAUGUAUUAGCUGUCUCCCACCUAUGAGCUCUAGAUAUCAAAACCUUAUUAGAGUAGGGUGAGAGAGAAGACAAUGCCACUAUGCCUCAUACCAAAAAUACCACAUACUUUGAGAGAAGGCAUACACAAUUACUGCCUUGGUAAGAAUCCGAAAAUACCACAAAAGAGAGACUAGAGAGAGUCAUACAAGGAAUCUCUGAGUUUUAUUUGAAAAUCUGCAAAAACUCCAGAGCUAUAGUUAAUCGAAGAACAAGAGACAUGGCGCUUGACUAGACCGCUCUAUCUUUUAACUGCUCAAGACACAAGUGACGGUUGCAAGCCCCAAGGUGGAAGGAAAAAUGAGUAAGUUUAAAUCUUAACAGUUUACCCUAACCCAGAGAUGAGAUCUUGUUUAAACGCAUGUGUACCUUUAAAGCAUGAAACCACUGCAGAAACUCUUGAGUCCAUCCUUGCUCAGGGACGAGCAAAGGUUAAGCUUGGGGGAGCUUGUUGACGGUCCUUAAUGCUCACAUUUAACCGUCAAUUAAUCAUGGAAAAAGGAUCCAAAUGCAACUGACACCUAGACUUAGGGUUUUAUCUGAUAGAAUUCCAUGAGUUUUGGUGUUUGUACAUUUCAGCAGGGGGUUAUCAGGAAAUAUGGAGGAAAGUCCCAUACGUCAGGUUUACAUAGAGAUAUUAACGUGUGCGGCAACUUUCUAUCAUCUAGAAGACUCCAGAAGCCACGGGAACGAACGGGAGGCCGAGUGGGCCCGGGGGCAGGGCGCCCGCCCUCCCCCCUUGGGCGCUCGCCCAACUACAGGAGCCAAUCAGGCUCUGCCUCGCGGAUCAUGCUCCACCGACAUAAGGGAUUAAGGAAAACCGUGCGAUUAAGGUCGGUAUGAUCCGACGACCCACGUUCAUUUGGAAGGGCUAUAUAAGCAAGGCCUCACCAGCCCCUGGAGAAUACCUCUUCUACAGAAUCAAAGCUAGGGUUUCAAUUAUUCAUCCAAGUAGAGAGGAUCCCUCUAGUUCAUCUAGUUCUAGUUCUAGUUCAUCUAGUUCUAGUUAGUUCUAGUUGUAAUCUAGAAAAUAGGGAGAGAGAAGAGGAGAGCGGAGGAGGAGCCGGAUCUAUCGGAUCUUCCUCAACAUUGUACUCUUGCAGCAACUGGUUCGUUCUUCAUCGUUCUCCAAGUUCUUCAAUUCAUAAUUCCUGAGUUCUUUAAUUACUUUUAUUUACAUUCAAGUUAUUUAUUAGAUUCCCGCUUGCAUCAAGUGCUCUAGUCUUUGAAACGCUAGAGUAGUAAUUAAUAGAUUAGACGUGGUGUUUAGUCUUGCAAUUACCUAGAAUUACACCCAAUCCUGCGGAUUGUUGUGGUAGCCCUAGGGUAGUGACAGCCCUAACGGUCGACGUAUUCCACCUCGUUCGGAUCGGUGUUUGUAGGACCGUAGUCAGAACUUCCUAGCCCCCUUCUCAUCUCUUUCUGUGGUUAGUGUUCUGAUGUCUCGAAAUAAAUAAUCUUUGAAGUAAUUCUUUAUUCUUAGAUCAAUUAGAGAACUCUCAGGAAACUUCCUCUUUUCCCACAAAAAAUAAUUAUAUAGUUAUCCUUCAGCGAUCUUGAAUCUUAAUUAGUACACUCACGUUCCCUGUGGAAAAUCGAUACUCUAGAAUACUCCCAGGUGAAAGCUACAUCGAUAUCCGUGCGCUUGCGGAUUUUUCUAUUUGCGUUUAAAAUACCCAACACCCCUCACUCACUGGACGCUACUUAGGGAGCCCUGCAAUCUGCACGGGCAUCGGACGCGUCCGACACAUCCUCAUUGGAUGCUUCCUGGCGUCUGAUGCACACAGCCAGACUCACUCGAUCGCACAGUUGCUGAUGUCACACCUCACCGGAUGCGGGAACAAUGCGUAGGUCACGUUCGACGCUCACCUGUCAGACGCUCUGACGCACACUUCUCCCUAGCACUGCUUAACCACUGUACACCAGACGCUGGGCUAGCAUCCGACGCCUCAAUGGCCAACGUUCGGUGGGUGUUUUUCUAGUGAAAAACACUCCCGCGACUUCACCAAAUUUUCCACUAGGGCGAUAGAAAAAUAUGCACUUCAUUUUCUCAAAAGCGCUGAAUCCCGCCUCGCAAGCUCGGUAGAAGGGAGAGAGGAACCCAAACCCCUCUCUACCCUUCAAACUCCACCUCCUUCUUAAAGUGUGCCAACACCACCAUGUGUGUAUCAACAUGUGAAAGUGUGUUAGAAUUUUCACAAAUCAUUUUCUUCAAAGGAGUUAAGUUAGCUCACUAGGUCCUAAAUGCAUGCACAUGAACAAUGACAUCUAGUGGCACUUGAUAAUAGCUUUGUCAAAGAAUUCCCCUCUUUAUAGUACGACUAUCUAUCCUAAAUGUGAUCGCACACUCUAUGGUGUCUUGAUCAUCAAAACUAAUACCCUAAGCAAUACAUUUGCCUUGUUCUCCAUAGGGUUUUGUUUUUCUCUUUCUUCUUUUCAAGUUGAGCACUUGAUCAUCUUGUGGUCAUCACCAUCAACACCAUGAUCAUCUCUUGCUCCAUCAGUUGGCAUGUACCAACCUCAUCUAAUCUACACACACUUAGCAUAGAGGUUAGUACUUUGGGUUUCAUCAAUUAUCCAAAACUAAACUAGGGCUUUCAAUCUCCCCCUUUUUGGUAGUUGAUGACAACCCAUUUACAAAGAUGUUCAAUAAAAUUUUCUUGGAUUAAUGUUGCUUGUUAAGCAUUUUACCAUGUGCAAAGGUUAUGGACAAGUUUCAUAAACCCAAAUUGGUAGUAAUUGCUCCCCCUACAUAUUUGCUAAGAGUUUGGAUUUGAAAGCUUACACAUAUGCUUGAAUAAGAAAUAUAGGAGUCAAUUUCUACCAAAUGAUGCUAAGGUGUAAAGAAUGGACCUUUAAAGCGUGAUACCAAUCGGAGUUAUCAAUGUACACCAUCCUUAGCAUCAUUAGUAACUAGACAUUCACAAAACUAGAACACCCCAUGAGAUCAACAUUAUAAACAAGGCUCUAGUACCACUUGUGAAACAACCAAAAGUCUAGUUAUACUUCCUAUACAUGCUAGUUCUUCAUUUCAUCAAUCAAACUUACAACUAGCAUAUACCACACAAGCAAGGUAUUAGAUAUAAAGCUUCUAAAGCUAAUGAAAAUGCAAGCAAGCAUAUGUGAUGCACAUUCAAAUGCAACAUACAAGUUUAUGAGCUUGCUCCCCCUACUUGUGUGCUUCAAAAUUUUAACUCCCCUAUCUUAUUUAUCUUUGUAAUUUCUCUCCCCCUUUGUUAUCAAUGAACACAAAAGGUGAGCUCAAAAUUUAGAUAGGUUAGUGUGAAACCAUGUGAAGUGAGAUCAUUUUCCCAAAUUAGUCCAAUCCAGAUUACUUGCCUAAGAUAUUUAACUCGAUUGAUCCAAGGACAAGCUUUUUCACACCUAAAAUAAGGGUUAUCUUGUACCAUGUUGAGUUAAACACUUAUAGCUCAUUUUCUAGAUCAAACACUAGGAUUGCAAGCCCAUAAACAUGCAUAUGCUACCACUAGAUCAAUUCAAGCAUAGAAGCAAUAGUGGCACCAUACAAGCAUCAAAUUUAUUUGAUUUUCAUGAAUGAGCCUAAGACAUGUAACGAAUGACUAGAUGCACUAAGCAAGUCCUUAGCAUAGGAUGAAUGACAUGUGAACCAAUUUUACCUUACUUUGCUCGAAGGAGAGGCAUGUCAUAUAAUAGGGUGCAUCAACACAUAUUUGAGAAGUCAAGUAUGUUUAAUUCAUUCCUUAGCUUGCAAAACCUCUUCUCAUCAAGUGGCUUAGUGAAUAUAUUGGCAAGUUGAUCAUUGGUGCCUAUGCUCUUAAUGCAAAUGUCCCCUUUUUGUUGAUGAUCUCUUAUGAAAUGAUGGUGGACAUCUAUGUGCUUUAUUCUUGAGUGUUGAACUAGAUUGUUGGUGAGUUUCAUAGCACUUUCAUUGUCACAUAGCAAUGUCACUUGCUUGAAAUUGAUUCCAAAGUCUUUCAAGCUUGCCUUCAUACAUAAGAUUUGUGCACAACAACUACCGGCCGCAAUGUACUCCACUUCGACGGUUGAUAGUUAUCGAGGAUAUCAAUAAGGGGGUACCCAUAUUUAUAUACCAAAGGAAACAAACUCCCCGCCCACGUCGACAGGUGGAAAAAGCUCAACGUGCAAACCAUCAUGGACAUGCCCAGGAGCAGGCCUCGACGUCCCAAACGGGCGUAUACUUGUUAUAUCCUCUACUUGAGAUACCAUGGACACAACCAAUGCGCCACUCGACAUACACCUCGAUGACGGAAAGUGGCUCGAGCAACGCCGGAUCCUUGAGUUCGUAUACCUCUUGUGGGGGUAUAAACCCAUAUACCUUUACAGCUAGACUUGGGCCAGGAGAUUUGGCCCAUUACGAGACAACUUGUGGCUUGAUUUAUCUACUUGGAGUUUCACACAAGGAAACAUGACGUGGAGAUCAAGAAAGAUCCUGGUCGGUUAGAAUAUGAAUUGAUAUCGUACUGUCUAUAGCAAAUGUAACCGACUAAGAUGACUUUCCAGAUUUGUAACCCUACCCUCUGGACAAUAUAAAGAGAGGCAAGGGACCCCCUCAGGUCAAGUCAACACAUCUCAUAUCAAUACAAUCAGACGCAUGACGUAGGUAUUAUGCCCACAUGGCGGCCGAACCUGGAUAAAAACCUUGUCUGUGUCUUGCGUCACCAUCUAGUUCGUAUCUUGCGCACCUGUCUGUCGACAAUCUACUACCUUGGGUAUACCCCAAGGUAGACUGCCGAGCAGCUUUUGUCGAUAGUGGCGCGCUAGGUAGGGGGUGUGUGUACAGCUUCUCAGACGAACAGGAUGGUUAUCAUCCUCGCUUCCGCUUUCAUGGUAGAAGGCCUCACGUUCACCGUCGGCUAGAUCACCUGGACGACCUGCUGUGGGGGUAUAAACCCCUAUACCCUUACGGCUAGACCUGGGCCAGGAGGCUUGGCCCAUUACGAGAUAAGCUCAAGGCUUGAUCCGACAGCUUGGAGUUUCGCGCAAGGAAACAAGACGUGGAAAUCAAGCAGGAUUCUAGUCGGUUAGAAUAGGAAUUGAUAUCGAACUAUCUAUGGCAAUUGUAACCGACUAGGAUUAGUUCCUAGAUCUGUAGCCCUGCCCUCCGGACUAUAUAAGGAGGGGCAAGGGACCCCCCUAGGACACAUUAUUCUCUCAAUCCAAUACAAUCAGAUGCAGGACGUAGGUAUUACGCCAACUCGGCGGCCGAACCUGGAUAAAAAGCUUGUCCGUGUCUUGCGUCACCAUCGAGUUCGUAGUUUGCGCACCGUCUACCGAUAAACUACUACCGUGAGUAUACCCCAAGGUAGACUGCCGACUAGCUUUCGUCGACAGUGGCGCGCCAGGUAGGGGGUGUGCGUACAACUUCUCCGGCGAACAAGAUGGUCAUAGUUCCAGCUUCCGCGGCCGUACCUGAAGGCCUCACGUUCACCGUCGGCCAGAUCACGUGGACGACGCGCGGCGGUGGUCUCAUGACCACGGUUUCAGAAGGAACCCAGAUCCAAUCUGGGAUCACGUCGGCUCCGACCACUCGGAUGAUGGCACCGAGCGUCCGACCACCGCUCCCGCUCUACAAAGGGAAGAAGAUCGACUGCUCGGACCUUCUCCAAGCACUUGAUCGCGCCGAUUCCAAGCUACUUGAAGCUUCCCAACUAUUAGAUGGAGUCUUGCACCAGCCCGAUCAAGCCACCCCAACGGAUUUUUUCAAAUCCCACCGGCCAACUCGUGUCGUUACACACGAACGGCUGGGAACGUCUCUGACGAUAACCUCAACUCCCUCAGGACGAUCCGUCAAGCUCAAGGCUAACCCGGAGGAAGAUUAUCCUUGCGGUCUAAACAACUCGACCUCUCUCUACUCACGGCACAUCCAAUCUCUUUUCAACAAGGCGGGUUGGCUGCCAAAGUGGAACGGUCGACCUGCUCGUCACUACGUCAACAUGGUGACGAUCCGAGAACUACGGGAUGGCCAGGCUUCCAGCACAAAUUCGAGCACUGGCUCCGUCCCCACCGAAGUCAUAAACUCCGAAGACGAGGACUACGACCUGGAUUUGCCUUCACAUCCUCCGAGCUUCUCUCGGUUCCCAGUCUUCCCACCCCGGCGAGGAGACAUUGUUUUCAAUGUCAGCGCCGACGAGCCAGUCGUUGAUGGAGAAACAGACGAGCAGAGGCAGCUCCGCGAGCAGCGUAACGCCGAUCGCACCCGACGACGCGCGGACGAGGAACGUCAAAUCCCGCCGCAUAAUCUCAGCGACGCUUUCGACAUGGUCGGGGAUCAGCCAGUUUAUAAAACGCCAAGCGCCAAUGUGGCUGUCGCCAUGGCCAAUUUAGAUCGGCUUCCUAAUACACCCGAGUGCCAGGGCGUCCGGACCAGCGUUCAGGCACAUCUGAUCGCCGCGAUGGGACAGACAGCCACUCUGCUCAAAAGAGUCCAAGCCGUCUCCUAUACGGAGGCCACCUCCGACCAGACUCACCGUAGCCGGACCUCACCGCAGCCCAGCAGGCACCACCGCAGCCGUUCCCCCGACAAUCAUCGAAAAGAUUCACGGCGUGACGACGGCGGUCGGGAUACUGGCGGUCACCGCGAGCAGAAUCGCAGGCGUGGUCAAGAAGUAAACCAGUACAGGGAUCUUCGAUACAACAUCCCUCCCAAAGACGCUCGAGACCGUAUCAACAGGCGCGCCACGGAGAGAGCAGUUCACGAAAACUUGCGUCGUAUUGAGUACGAUGCAACGCACGGCCCCUCGGGCCUGAAGCAGUUGUCUUCACACCUCCGCCAGGUCGUGUGGCCGCGAAAUUUCAAGCUUGAGAAACUCAAAAAAUACGACGGCAAGGAAAACCCAGAGAACUGGAUCACUCUUUACGAGAUCGUCGUCCGAUCAGCAGCAGGAGAUGAGCACGUCAUGGCCAACUACUUUCCAGUAGUCCUCGACCAGGCUGGUCACCAGUGGCUCCUAGGCCUGCCCGAGGACUCUUUCGACUCCUAGGAAGAACUAUGCCAAGCCUUCAUCGACAACUUCAUCGCCACCUGCGAGCAGCCUGGGAACAAGUACGACCUCGAAAGGAUAAGAGAUAGGAAAAACGAACCUCUACGCGACUACAUCCGACGAUUCUCGGAUAUGCGCCUUAAGAUCCCGAAGAUUUCCCACGACGAGGCUAUAUCUACUUUCAUCAAAAUGCUGUGCUUCCACGAAGCACUGAGGAACAAGCUACUGCACAAAAGGCCAACAACGAUGACAGAGCACCUCGCCAUGGCCAAAAAUUAUGCCGACGCUGAUGACGCAGAAAAACUCAUACGAGAUGACACCAGAGGUCCCGACCAGCCUUCUCAGCGUGACGAUAGUCGCGGCCGCUUUGACAACAGGAACCAUCACCGCCCUGAUAACCGGGAUCACAGAGAGGGCUAGGACAGGCGCCGCGACAACCGCGACAAUUUCAGAGGCAAGCGCCCUCGCGAUCACGACCACGAGGUGAAUACGGUCAAGCGCCCCAACGGACGGCGGGAUUACCAAGAAGACUACAACAAGACGUUGAAGGGACCAUGCCAACUGCAUCCAAAAUCCAACCACACCAUGGAAGAAUGCCGCAUCCUCGAAAGCAUCUAUACGCGGCAUGUUGCUCAAGACGAUCCCUCCAAGAAAAACGGGAAACAAGAUGGGCGCAAUCACGAAGACGAGGACGAAGACCAGGAUAGGGACCCACGACACCAGUAUGUCAGUCCUACUGACGUGGUCCAUUCCAUCUUUGGAGGCAAGGUCUCCAUCGAGUCUAAACGAGAAAGAAAGCUCUUAAAGAGAGCCUGCCUCAACGUAGACAACACUGAUGGUCUGAUCGCCGAUCCAAAAUUUCCUCCCUGGUCACACAGGGAAAUCUCCUUCAGCAGGAAGGAUCAAUGGGCCGCUAUCCCGGAACCGGGUCGUUUCCCUCUAAUCUUGGACCCUUGCAUCAACAGCAUCACAUUCGAGCGCGUGCUCGUGGACGGAGGAAGCUCCAUUGACAUCCUCUUCCGCAACAGCCUGCCCGCUCUCAAGAUAUCUCCGGCACAAUUAAAACCCUACGAUGCUCAAUUCUGGGGAGUCUUGCCAGGUCAGAGUUCGGUGCCCCUCGGACAGAUAACAUUGCCUGUCCAAUUCGGCACGCCCGACCACUUUCGGACAGAGUUCGUCAACUUUGUGGUCGCCGACUUUGAUGGGACCUACCACGCUAUACUGGGCCGACCAUCGCUGACAAAAUUCAUGGCGGUCCCGCAUUACUCAUACCUGGUCCUCAAACUGCCUAUGGAGAAGGGUGUCCUGACCGUCAGAGGCAAUGUCUACACUGCAUAUACUUGUGAAGAGGAGAGCUUCAAGAUCACCGAAGCAAUCGAUCUCUCAAUCCGGAUGGCAGAAACAGCAACCCAAGCCGCACAGCUACCUCCCGACCAGCUCCGACUACCCGAACAGGAGACCGCCAGGAAGAAUUCAAAAUCCAAGGAGUAUAAAGAAGUACAACUGGUCGACGGCAGCCCCGAGAAGACGGCCCUCAUCGGGGCCAAUCUGGACCCCAAAUAGGAAGACGCGCUCGUCAGGUUUCUAAGGGACAACGUGAGCGUUUUCGCAUGGAAACCCGCAGACAUGCCCGGCGUCCCACGAAACCUGAUCGAGCACUCCUUAAACGUCUCGAAGACCGCAAGACCAAUCAAGCAAAAACUGCGACGGUUCGCUCGUGACAAAAAGGAGGCUAUUAGGACAGAAAUAACACGGCUUCUAGCAGCCGGAUUCAUAAAAGAAGUGUAUCAUCCCGAUUGGCUUGCCAAUCCGGUUCUUGUACGCAAAAAGAAUAACGAAUGGAGAAUGUGCAUUGAUUACACUGAUCUCAAUAAACACUGUACUAAAGAUCCUUUUGGUCUCCCUUGCAUCGACGAGGUGGUUGACUCAACGGCCGAAUGCGAACUCCUCUCUUUUCUAGACUGCUACUCUAGUUAUCACCAGAUCUCGCUAAAGGAAGACGAUCAGAUAAAAACGUCCUUCAUUACUCCUUUCGGCGCAUACUGCUACACGACCAUGUCAUUCGGACUCAAAAACGCCAGAGCCACCUAUCAACGGGCCAUCCAGCAAUGCCUCCACGACAAGAUUCGUGAUGACCUCGUCGAGGCCUAUGUAGACGAUGUAGUCGUCAAAACAAGGGAUGCAAGCACCCUAAUCGACAACUUAGACCGAACCUUUAAGGCGCUAAACAGGUACAAGUGGAAGCUUAACCCCAAAAAGUGCAUCUUUGGCGUCCCUUUCGGUCUGCUACUCGGCAACGUCGUUAGCCGCGACGGCAUACGGCCGAAUCCUUCAAAAGUAAAAGCAGUACUCGACAUGCGACCACCUAAAAAUGUCAUGGAUAUUCAGAAGCUCACCGGAUGUAUGGCCGCACUCAGCCGCUUCAUCUCAAGACUAGGAGAAAAAGGCCUCCCUUUCUUCAAACUCUUGAAGGCGUCGAAAAAAUUUUCUUGGACAGAGGAAGCCGACACUGCGUUCACCCAGCUUAAGACUUUCCUCACUUCACCGCCUGUUCUUACAGCGCCUCAGCCCAAUGAAGACUUACUCCUUUACAUUGCUGCAACCGACAGGGUUGUUUCCACGGCAAUAGUGGUCGAGCGAGACGAGCCAGGUCAUGUCUACAAGGUCCAGAGACCCGUUUACUUCAUAAGCGAAGUCCUAAACGAGUCCAAGGCCAGAUAUCCACAAAUACAGAAGCUCAUAUAUGCCAUUCUAAUAACGUCGAGAAAGCUAAAGCACUAUUUCGACGGCCACCGUGUCUUGGUAACUACCAGUUUCCCUCUUGGGGAUAUUCUGCGCAACAAAGACACCAACGUCAGAAUUGUAAAAUGGGCAAUGGAAUUAUGCCCGUUCUCCCUAGAAUUCCAGAGUCGUACCACAGUCAAGUCUCAGGCCCUGGUCGAUUUCAUUGCAGAAUGGACGGAUCUUAACGAACGUCCCGUUCCCGACAUCUCCGACCACUGGUCGAUGUUCUUCGAUGGGUCCUUAAACAUCAAUGGUGCCGGCGCUAGGAUACUUUUCGUGUCGCCUAACAAGGACAAACUGCGUUACGUCCUUAGGAUCCUCUUUCCGGCAUCCAACAACGUCGCCGAGUACGAAGCAUGCCUGCACGGCAUACGACUAGCCAUUGAGUUAGGAGUCAAACGCCUCUAUGUCUAUGGCGACUCUGCUUUGGUUAUCAACCAGCUCAACAAGCAAUGGGAUGCAACCCUCGAGAAGAUGGAUCUCUACUGCAAAGAAAUUCGCAAGUGGGAAACCAACUUCUACGGCAUUGAAUACAUUCACGUGGUCCGGGAUAAGAACCGGGCAGCAGAUGCGCUGUCAAAAUUAGGGUCAUCUCGGGCACCGAUCCCGCGAGGUGUUUUCGUCCAGGACAUCCACGAGCCAAGCGUGGGCACAGGCCUGGUCCAAAAGCAGCCUACUAAGGCAAUGCUCAUAGACGACACUACUCCGGCAACCGGUGGCCGUGAUUGGCGCACCCCAUUCAUCAAAUAUAUAUCGGACGGGUCAGGCUAUCAGGACAAAACAGAGAACGAGCGCCUUAUUCGACGAUCAAAGAAUUACAUACUGGUGGACGGCAAACUUAUGCGAAAAAAUGCAAGUUCUAAAGUGCUGCUCAAAUGCAUAUCCCAAGAUGAUGGCAUCAAGCUCCUAGAAGACAUACAUGCCGGAUCCUGCGGCAAUCAUGCUGCCUCCAGAACACUAGUCGGGAAAGCUUUCCGAGCAGGUUUUUACUGGCCAACCGCGGUCAACGACGUAGAAAAACUGGUCUGACACUGUGAGGGAUGUCAGUUCUUCGCUAAAAGGACCCACGUACCUGCUCAUGAGAUUCAAACUAUCCUGUCGUCCUGGCCCUUCACCUGCUGGGGGCUCGACAUGAUCGGGCCAUUUAAACCAGCCCCUGGCAACUUCAAGUUCGUUUUCGUAUUAAUCGACAAGUUCUCAAAGUGGAUUGAAUACAUGCCACUGGUCAAAGCAACCUUCGAGAAGGCCGUGGAGUUCCUCAAUCAAAUCAUACACAGAUUCGGGGUUCCAAACAGUAUAAUCACCGACCUGGGUACUCAGUUCACUGGGACUACAUUUUGGGACUUCUGCGAUGACAGAGGCAUAGUCAUAAAAUACGUGUCAGUAGCUCACCCACGGGCAAAUGGCCAGGUUGAGCGCGCGAACGGAAUGAUCAUUUGUGGCAGAACCCCCUAAGUGUUUGGGCCCACCGGCACCUGCCAUUGUCCUAAGGACCUCUGACGUGAUGCCGGGAGUCCUCCCACUUUAGAAGUCCGAUGAGCCUUACUGUACGCUCAUUCCACUGCUACCUGUGGCGUACCAAGCUGACUCGUCCUGACCACUGAUAAUGGUCAAAUAACGAGAACUGCUUCUUCUCGCCCUUACAGGAUAGCAAGUGGCCACUUUAACACCAGGAUCACUCGUUGCGAAGAUAGAGCAGUAACUCAACGAUACAAGACCAAAAUAGUAUUUCAGAGUGAAACAGCGGAAGUAUUACAUAACUUAAUUUACAAAAGAAGUUCUUCCAAAUAGUAAAGUGUUAUUACAAGCCUGGUCCAGCGGAGCAACUUAAACUUUAGUAGAGACAAAACAAAUUUACAGACCCUGCCCAUGGGUCACGCUCACUCUUCUUCGUCGUCAACCUCGACGACGGUCACACAACAGGGUCCGAAACAAGUCGGCUCCUGAGCUUCACCUGCAACAGGGGUAUUGAAACCCUGAGUACGGGAGUACUCAACAAGACUUAUCCGACGGGAAAAGAGGAGAAUUUAGGGAUGCAGGCUUAGGGUAGACAAGGGGUGGCUGAGCAAGGAGCCAAAGUGUUUUGCGGAAAAGCUUACUAGUAGUGCAUCCUUAUUUUCAAGUUUUACCCUGAAUUCCUCCCUCGCGGAGGCAGAAGAAUUCGAGGAUAGUCUAACUAGUUGUUCCCCACAGACGAAUCCGUGAGUUCCUAACCCUAUCAUUAAGUAUUAUUUAUUGAUGGUCAUAGCUUCAUGUCGCUAUGAGUCCGGGAAUUGGGAUCCGAACCUCAUGAGACAAUUUCCCUUUUCUCAUUUUAUCACUUAGUUGCAUAUUUAACUACGAUGAGGGUCGAAGGAAUUGAGUCUCCCAAUCGGGGAGCAACGACGAUUCGAAUCGCUUAGCAAUCCAGCUGGAGUUCCUAACCACCCGACAUAUGUAGAACCAAAUCUUGCAUAUAUCAACCCAAAUCAAGCUCUCCCCAAAUUUGACCAGGUUCGCGGCACCCGAGAGCACAGUACUCCACCAUCCUACAGCCGAUCUAGAUGUUUCCCGGUCAUCUCAGAUCCGUAAGGUGGGUACACACUACUCUCGCCAUCUUUCCACUCCCAGUGCGCGAGUAGCUGUUCGCGUCGAGGGAUCACAAGACCGGGCUUACCCGUGGCAAGUGGCUAGUACUAUAAAUUCUCAACCCAGCAGGCCAUCAACGGACCGGUCCUUAACCGACACAGUUGGAGACACUACUUUAAGACUCCAUUCUUAAAGCAAGUCCACCGACCGGUCUCAAGUUGAAACAUCAUUGGCCAUAAGUGUAUCCCACAACAACCCUUCAAACUUUCUUGUUUGAAAACCUAUCUAGUAGCAGGGCUAAGCAUCGCUACGCAGUUUUAAAAUAAAACAGGUGUCAAGGACAGGAUAACAGAUAUCAAGGUAGUAAAUGCAGCAAGUAGGUUAACCCAAUUCUCAACUACCUAAUGCAGCAAAUUUUCAAUUCAUAAGUGAUAAAAGAUUUAAAACAUCCAAGGAGGGGUUAAUGCAUCCGGGGCUUGCCUUGGUUGCAGGGCAGAGAGGGACCCUCGGAGACUUCCCAAGUCUCGGAUCCAACUUCCUCGAACGGAGCACCGACCUCGGGGUUCGGUUCAACGGGCGCUCCUUCGGUCACGGACACUAUACGCAAAAUGAUGAAUGCUCAUGAUAUGCGUAUGGCAAUUAUGCAAGAUGGACCGAAUUAAGUACGAUUUGCUUAUUUAAUGCAAUACAGAAUUGUCACUAAAUAAAGUUAUUUAAUAACUUAAUAUUUUUAUCAAGAGGUUGCAUCUGUAAACUAAGACUUUACUUAAUUCAUAAUUAUCCUAAAUUAACUAAUUAUUAAACCUAUUUAUCUUAAUUAAUUUUUGAAUAAUUACUAAUGACAGUAAUUAAGCAUUAAGGCUAAACAAUAAUUAAAUGCCAAAGGUCAUUAGGGUUAAUGACCUCAGGUCAUCACACAAUCCCAAAACCACUCAACUCUAAUUAUGAGGAUUUAAAUAAUCACUAUUUAAAUAUUUUGGAAUUAUUACUUAAGUGUUAAAUAAGGGUUUAUUAAUAUUCUAAUCAAACAUUAUCCAAAUGACACCAAAUUUUGUGUGGAGCCAGGGAAUACCACUCAGAGGCUCCCCACAAUUUUUGGUGAUUUUUGGACAUACAAAUAAAUUAUUAAAAUUCCUAGAAGUUUUAUUCAUUAAUUAAAAGAGCAAAUUUUUACAAACAUGUAAACUACCAGAAAACAGAACUUAAUAUUUUUCUUGGGUUCUAUUUAUUUCAGAGAAUCUACACAAAAAUUUCCAUGAUUUUUGGAUUACCACACAAUUUAUUACACAAUUUCAAACAUCAAACAUUUUUAAACAAAAAGGAAAAAGAGAAAGUGCACUGUGCUGCUCUGGCGGCCUGCUUGGAUCCGGCCCAAGACGGCCCGCGAGCUCUCCCGCGUCGCGCGCGCGGGCGCUGCCCUCACACACGGCCGCUGACGGGCGGGUCCCGCCCGUCAGAGGCGUCUUCUUCCUCUCGCCACCGCUCCGGUGAGCAUAAGCUCCGCGCCGGUGAGCUCCCGGCUUCCGCAGCGAGGCGCGCUAGCUUCCCCGGUCCCUCGCGCACCCGUAGACCCCCUUUACACCCGCUCUACCUUGCCCUAGCCUCCGCGACCACGGGCACGGCGGACGGCCGCUUCGGCCGAGCAAACGCCGGCCGCCCCAGGCGAGUAGAGUGCGAAUUGAGCAACGCAAAAGUUUCGGUGGCUCACCGCGGUUCUAGUGGAGCAAGAAUCGGCAGUGGAAAGGCGUGGAGCGAAGCUGGCCACGGUGGAGGUGCUUGCGGCGGCUCUCCGGCCGGAGUUGGAGAAGAGCAGUUCGGUGGAGGGCUCUGGUGGGUUAGCGCUUGCGCUUGGGGGUGCAAUCGGUGGUGGGGCUCAAGGCGGAGCUGCUGGGGUGCUCAAGUAGCUUGGAACGGCAACGGGUGAGGCGAAUUUUGCGGUGGCGCGGGCGUAGCUCGUCGGCGUCGGGGUUCAGGGAAAGAAGAAAAUUUUCCACGGCGGCUCAGGCUUUAUCCUUGCAUCCUUGAACCGGCACUGGAUGAGGACAUCCGCGCGAGGCACGGCAGCAAGCAGCUGCGUGGCCAGGCGCGUGGCGUCGCGCGCGGAGGCGGCUCUGCCCCGGCGGCAGAGCACCCCCCCUGCCCGACCACUGUAGCUGUGCAUAUCCACUCAGUUUGGUUUUUUGUAAAAUUCGCCCAAAAUUUGAACUGAGCACAAAAUUCGUCCAAAACAAAAGUUGUGCACAAUUUCAUAAGCUACAAAACAUAUUUUGGUGACCAGAGCUGAUUUUGAGUGUAACAGGGUGAAUUUGGCCAAACAGUUUGAAAAUCAAACUCAAAUCAAAGAAAUUUCAAAUUUUUGAAUUGGGGCAAAACAGAAUUUCCAAAAUUACUUUUGAUUUUGUAUAACAACUUGAAAAACUCCCAACAUGAAAGUUGCUCAACUUUUUGUGCUCUACAACUUUCAUGUUGACCACUUUUCAAAAUUCCAAAUGGAUUUUGAAUUGGGGGUUUAAGUUGGAAAAGGGGACACUUUCUGGAAAUCUGCAUUUUCAAAAUUACUUUGAAUUUUGUAUUGAAACUUCAAAAACUCAAAACACCAAAGUUGUACAUCUUUCCAGGAUCUACAACUUUGCUUUUGAACUCAACCUCAAAUUUUGCUUAGUUUUUGAAUUGCACAAAAGGGGGCAGUUUUAGGGUUCAAAAUCAGGGUUUUCCCCCCCUUAGCUCUUCGGAAAUCUUUCACCCUAGGGUUUUAGCAUCCAACACAAGCAUCCCAACACAAUGUAAGCACACUUUAAUUUCCUAAGCACAAGCAAUAAAAUGAAACUCGUUUUAAGUUAAUGCAUACUAAGGUGCUUUAACAAUUAUGCUUUACAAUGCUUAUGAUGACAUGAUCCAUUUUCAGUAACCGUAACAUCAGGGAUGUUACAGCCCUUCCCCCUUAAAGAAAUCUCGUCCCCGAGAUUUAAAACCUUAGGGUAAGUAAUGGAAAAGGAAAUUUGUCAAAACUCUUUCCUCUUCAACUUCUCCAUAAGGCCAGGAAUUGGGGAAAAUACUUCAUUAUAUGCAUAUAUGUACAUUAAGUACAUGGCUUUGGUAACUCUUUUUCUUCACUGGAGUACAUUCUCUGAUUAUCAUAUGCUAUCCUGAAGGGAAGCAUGGAAUUCCGGAAAAUUCUCUAACAAGUAAUCUUCAGAUUCCCAGGUGGCUUCCUCCUCAGAGUGCUGGCUCCAUUGUACUUUAUACCAUUUGGUGGUUGUCCUUCGAGUAACUCUAGCUUUUUGAUCCAGUACUCGGAUAGGAUAUUCCGAAUAAGUUAGAUCUGGUUCAAGCUUUACAUCUUCAAUAUCUUGAACUCGAUCUGGUACCCGAAGACACUUUUUCAGUUGAGACACAUGGAACACAUUAUGUACCCCAGAUAAUCGUUCGGGCAGUUUAAGGCGGUAAGCGACUUGCCCACAUCGGUCAAUAAUUGGAUAUGGACCAAUGUAACGAGGCGCUAACUUGCCUUUAACACCAAAACGAUUUACUCCUUUCAUUGGGGAUACUUUCAAAUACACAUGAUCACCUUUGGCGAACUUUAAUGGUCGACGUCUUUUAUCAGCGUAACUUUUCUGUCGGGACUGAGCAACUUUCAAAUUAUUUUGAAUUUGUUUCACUUUGUUCUCAGUCUCUUUCACUAAGUCAACUCCGAAGAACCAUCUUUCUCCAGGUUCUGACCAGUGUAACGGAGUUCGACAUCGGCGACCAUACAGUGCCUCAAAGGGAGCCAUCUUGAUACUCUCUUGAUAGCUAUUAUUGUAGGAAAAUUCUGCUAGAGGCAAGCAGUCAUCCCACUUAUCUGGAAAAUUCAGGGCACAAGAUCUUAAUAGAUCUUCUAGGGUUUGAUUUACCCUUUCCGUUUGCCCACCAGUUUGAGGGUGGUAGGCUGUGCUGUAUAAAAGCUUAGUGCCCAAGGACUCAUGUAAACAUUUCCAGAAUUGGGAGACAAAUUGUGUGCCUCUAUCUGACACUAUUGUCUUUGGCACUCCAUGCAGACUUAAGAUACGGUCGAAAUAAAUCUUAGCAUAGGUGGAGGCAGGAUACAAUAGCUUUACUGGCAGAAAAUGUGCUGUUUUGGUGAGACGAUCUACUAUGACCCAAAUGGAAUCAAAGCCCUUGGCCGUUUUGGGCAAUCCUACUAUGAAAUCCAUACUUAUGUCAUCCCAUUUCCAUGCGGGGAUAGGCAAAGGUUGCAACUCCCCAGCGGAUUUGAGAUGAAUGGCUUUAACUUUUCGACAGGUGUCACACUGGGCCACAUAGCGAGCUAUUUCUAUCUUCAUUUUUGUCCACCAAAACCUUUGCUUCAGGUCCUGAUACAUCUUAUUGCUUCCCGGAUGAAUAGAAUAUCUCGUGGUAUGAGCUUCAUCUAGGAUUUGCUGACGUAGCUCAGGUACCUUUGGAACCACUAAUCGGUUCUUGAACCAGAUUACUCCCGCCUCAUCCACCUUAAAGUCUGUGAGUGCUCUAUUAGAAAUCUUCUCUUUAAGAUGUCUCAUGCCUUUGUUUUCUUUUUGUGCCUUUAUGAUUUGAGCCUCGAGAUUGAAAUCAAUCUUUAAAUUGGAAAGGCUUCCUUGGGAAAUCAUUUCUAUUCCCAAGUUCUCUAGCUCUUGGCACAAAGUUAUAUCCCUAGGCUUCACUGUUAAGCAAUUAUAGUGAGCCUUACGACUGAGGGCAUCCGCUACUACAUUUGCCUUGCCAGGGUGAUAAUGCACCUCAAGGUCGUAAUCUUUAAUUAGUUCUAGCCACCUUCGCUGGCGCAUAUUAAGCUCAGCUUGAGUAAAGAUAUACUUCAAGCUUUUGUGAUCUGUAUAUAGAUGACAUGUGUUUCCCAACAAAUAAUGACGCCAGAUUUUUAAUGCAUGUACCACGGCGGCUAGUUCAAGAUCAUGGGUCGGGUAAUUCUCUUCGUGAGGUUUGAGUUGCCUGGAAGCAUAUGCAAUUACGCGACCCUCCUGCAUCAGCACACAGCCUAACCCGAUUCCUGAUGCGUCACAAUAUACAUCAAAGGGUUUUUCAAUAUCUGGCUGGGCUAAGACAGGUGCAGUUGUCAACAACCUUUUCAGAGUCUGAAAAGCUUGCUCACAUUGGGGUGACCAAACAAAUUUUGUUUGACUUUUGAGCAAGGUUGUGAUUGGUUUGGCGACUCUGGAAAAGUCUGGGAUAAAACGACGGUAAUAUCCCGCCAUGCCCAGAAAACUACGGACUUCGUGUACCGUAGUCGGGGGUUUCCACUUCAACACAUCUUCUACCUUGCCUGGGUCUACAGCGACUCCUUCCGCUGAUAAUACAUGACCCAGGAAAUGAACCUUGUCCAGCCAGAACUCACAUUUGCUGAACUUGGCAUAAAGCUGGUGCUCCCUGAGGCGGGUCAGCACGAUUCUCAAGUGUUCAGCAUGUUCCUUCUUAGUUUUGGAGUAAAUCAAGAUGUCAUCGAUAAAGACGACCACAAAUUUGUCUAGUUCUGGCAUGAAGACAGAGUUCAUCAAGUACGUAAAAUGGGCCGGUGCGUUAGUCAACCCAAAAGACAUCACCAAGUAUUCAUACAACCCGUAACGGGUUGUGAAAGCAGUCUUGGGCACAUCUUCCGGCCUAAUUUUAAUUUGAUGGUACCCUGAUCUCAAAUCAAUUUUUGAGAACACUUUGGCCCCAGCUAACUGAUCAAACAGUAAGUCAAUACGGGGCAAUGGGUACUUAUUCUUAAUCGUCACCUCAUUUAGAGGACGAUAGUCGACGCACAGCCUUAAUGUCUGAUCUUUCUUCUUCACAAACAAGGCUGGGCAACCCCAUGGAGAAGAACUGGGCUGAAUAAAACCCUUCUGUAACAAUUCUUGUAAUUGGGUUUUUAAUUCGGCCAGCUCUUUCGGUGCCAUUCUGUAGGCCCUUCGAGAUAUUGGGGCCGUUCCCGGUUUCAAUUCUAUACUGAAUUGUACAUCCCGGUCCGGAGGCAGACCUGGUAAGUCUUCAGGAAAUACAUCCGGGAAAUCUCGAACUACCGGGAUAUCUUUAACUUCAGACACAUUAGCGGCAUGAACUUGCCCAAUUGUCCGUUUGGGGGUAACUAAUUGGAUUAGCAAGUAAGAACUCUCAUUGGGCAAUGGGAUUUUAAUGGUUCGGUGCAAAGUGUCUAGCACAACCCCUCGUUGCGCCAUCCAGUUCAUGCCUAAGAUAACAUCAAUUUCUUGGUCCUUAAGAACAAUCAUGUUAGUAGGAAAAUUGUGCCCACCAAAUUCGAUGGGUACUUGGUGAACCAUUUCUUUAGACAUCAGCCGUCCUCCUGGCGACUGUAUAUAAAAGUGAUCUUGUGUUUCCCCAAUGGGUAUGCCAUGCUUUAACACAAAGGUGCGAUUGAUAAACGUAUGGGAUGCACCAGAAUCGAAGAGCAUUAAAGCAGGAUGCUUUGCAACAGGAAACGUACCCAUCAUCACUGGUUCACCCUCUGGAAUUGUCUCCACUUCAGUAUGGAAGACUUGCCCUGUCUUCUUUACCGGUCUACCUUUCUGUACCUGUUGCCCUUUUUGAGCCCCAGUCCUGAAUUGACUCGGCUGGGGUUGGACUAUAGGUGGCCUGGGAAAGGUAGGGUUGGUUUGACGAGGAAAAGGGCACUCUUUAGAGAAAUGCCCAGGUUUACCACAAUUGAAGCAAGGGUAAUUGUGGCUGGGCGGAGCAGUAGGGCGAACACCCGGGGCGUUCGGCUGGCGUGGUGCAAAAGCGAUGGCAGUAGGUCGGGAAUAUACCUGCUGCCCAGGUCUGUACUGUGGAGGGGAGAAAGGACCACGAUAAGGUGACGGCGCUUGGAAACGUCCGUGGCCCUGUGGAUGAUAAAUAAUCCUCUGGCGCUUUUGUCCGCGACCAGAGAAAGAAGAGGAAGCAGCCUUCUUCUUGGCUUCCUUAUGUUUCCUAUUCUUUUCCUCUGAGGCGAUAGCAAUAUUUACCGCCUCAUAGAAAGUAACAUUUUGGCAAGUGGUCAUCAUGGUCUGAAGUUUAGUAUUUAGACCACGCAUGAAACAGGCUUUCCUCUUUCUGUCAGUGUUCACAUGAUCCGUGGCAUAUUGAGAAAGAUGAUUGAACCUCGCCACGUAUUCCAUAACACUCUUGUCGCCUUGCUGCAAGGCGAGAAACUCUUCGGCCUUCAUGGCCAUGAGCCCUUCGGGGAUGUAGUGGGCGCGAAAUGCGUCCCUAAACUCGGUCCAGGUAACUUGGUGUCCGGGAGCUUGAAUAGCUAAGAAGUUCUCCCACCAAGCACCUGCAGCUCCCCGAAGCUGCUGGGCUGCAAAUAAGGGUUUCUGAGUUUCUGAACACUGAAUUAAACUGAACUUAUGCUCCAUAGUUCGGAGCCAAUCAUCCGCUUCUAAAGGCUCAUCGGCCUUAGUGAACACCGGGGGCCUGGUCUCGGUGAAAUCUACAUACCGAGCCUCUCCGUCCCCGUUGCGCGGUGCCCUGGAGUUUGAAGCAGGGUGUGUUUGACGCUGUGCUAGCUCGCGCAGCAAGCGAGCAUUGUCAGUUGUGGCACUUAGCAGGACAGCAAUGGCGUCAGCCAAAGAAGGUGGAGCAGGUGGAGGGUUGGGGAUAUCAUCCCCUCCCUGGGAUGUCCCAGCUCCAUCGGAUCCGCGAGUACGCAUCGGCAUCUGUUACAAGAAUCGUAGAUACCUGUUACCACGUAGAAUUCAUAACACAGAACAUAUCUUACAUUCACUUGUUAAACAUUAGUUAGAUACACACCAAGAGCAAACAAGUCCAACUUCUCAAACCGAACGAAAACUUAUAUUACAAACCCGAACCCCACUACGGCAAGCUAAGACCCCUACAACGACGUUGCCCUCGGUUUCACCGAACUAAUCGGUGUGGCCAGAGCUGUAGCCCGGGUCGUUGUUGCCAUCAUCUUGAUUACCCCCUGGGUUGUGGUCAUCGGGGUCGGACUCCUCUUCAUCACUGAGGCCGGGAUCGGGUUCUCCAUCGUCUGCCAACUCGCCAUCCGUAUCCAUUUCUCCUUCGCCGGGAGGUGGGUGGAGUUGAUGAUACAGAUCAAAUGCAAUAUCACGAUAUUGCAUAGCUAGGUCGUUGACUGUAUCUAAGUGAUAUGCCAGCUCCAGUUUCUCCAGCUGGAGCUGGUCCUCUCGUUGCCACGCGACAUCCCGUUGUGCUGUGACCGUGGCCGCCAUCUUCACAUACAAAUCCUUGAGAUACCUUGCCUUGCCCAACUUUGCGUUCAUCCUAGUUAGCUCAUGCCUAUGGGUGCUCCUAGCUUCUUCCUCUCGAGCAACGGCUGCAUUCCGCUCCUCCACCAUCCGGGACAACAUAGCUUCACAAUUUUCCGUAGCUUGUUUUUCUUUGGCCAGUUGAGCUUUGAGUUUGCCAAUCUCCAUAACAUUGUACAUUCUCUCUCGCAUCACCUCAGUCAACUCGGCGGACAGCCUGUCCACCUCCUGCUGAGGCGAUGUGCGGCUACUACUGGCUUGAUCACUGCGUGGAGCUAGCUGAUGUCGGGGAACUCCUUUUGGACCCGUCCGCUUACGCGGGGUCUGCUUCUGACGAGCCAUCCUGUAGAGGGUAAGUUUAGAUUAGUAAGAGAGACCUUAAAGGUUAGCAAGAAUAGGAUUGAUUCUAUUCACCCAACCCCAAACAAGGAGGAAGGAACUUAACCAGUUAAUACAUUAUGAUGCAUGCACGAACUUACGAUUCCUACUAACAAUUCGUAACGAUAUUACUUUAACUUUUACAACAUAGGGCAAUACUUUAGGUUGCUCCCCUAACCCACUUCGAAAAUUCUAAGAAAGCCUAUAGACAGGGGUAGGUUAGGACUAAGCACUUGGACUCAAAAUAGGCAGGUUCAUAGUAUUAGUUUCAAACGAAUUUUUGAAGUUUUUCAAAGGGUUCAGCAGUCAUCUUAGCAACGAAUGCUCUGAUACCAGCUGUGGCAGAACCCCCUAAGUGUUUGGGCCCACCGGCACCUGCCAUUGUCCUAAGGACCUCUGACGUGAUGCCGGGAGUCCUCCCACUUUAGAAGUCCGAUGAGCCUUACUGUACGCUCAUUCCACUGCUACCUGUGGCGUACCAAGCUGACUCGUCCUGACCACUGAUAAUGGUCAAAUAACGAGAACUGCUUCUUCUCGCCCUUACAGGAUAGCAAGUGGCCACUUUAACACCAGGAUCACUCGUUGCGAAGAUAGAGCAGUAACUCAACGAUACAAGACCAAAAUAGUAUUUCAGAGUGAAACAGCGGAAGUAUUACAUAACUUAAUUUACAAAAGAAGUUCUUCCAAAUAGUAAAGUGUUAUUACAAGCCUGGUCCAGCGGAGCAACUUAAACUUUAGUAGAGACAAAACAAAUUUACAGACCCUGCCCAUGGGUCACGCUCACUCUUCUUCGUCGUCAACCUCGACGACGGUCACACAACAGGGUCCGAAACAAGUCGGCUCCUGAGCUUCACCUGCAACAGGGGUAUUGAAACCCUGAGUACGGGAGUACUCAACAAGACUUAUCCGACGGGAAAAGAGGAGAAUUUAGGGAUGCAGGCUUAGGGUAGACAAGGGGUGGCUGAGCAAGGAGCCAAAGUGUUUUGCGGAAAAGCUUACUAGUAGUGCAUCCUUAUUUUCAAGUUUUACCCUGAAUUCCUCCCUCGCGGAGGCAGAAGAAUUCGAGGAUAGUCUAACUAGUUGUUCCCCACAGACGAAUCCGUGAGUUCCUAACCCUAUCAUUAAGUAUUAUUUAUUGAUGGUCAUAGCUUCAUGUCGCUAUGAGUCCGGGAAUUGGGAUCCGAACCUCAUGAGACAAUUUCCCUUUUCUCAUUUUAUCACUUAGUUGCAUAUUUAACUACGAUGAGGGUCGAAGGAAUUGAGUCUCCCAAUCGGGGAGCAACGACGAUUCGAAUCGCUUAGCAAUCCAGCUGGAGUUCCUAACCACCCGACAUAUGUAGAACCAAAUCUUGCAUAUAUCAACCCAAAUCAAGCUCUCCCCAAAUUUGACCAGGUUCGCGGCACCCGAGAGCACAGUACUCCACCAUCCUACAGCCGAUCUAGAUGUUUCCCGGUCAUCUCAGAUCCGUAAGGUGGGUACACACUACUCUCGCCAUCUUUCCACUCCCAGUGCGCGAGUAGCUGUUCGCGUCGAGGGAUCACAAGACCGGGCUUACCCGUGGCAAGUGGCUAGUACUAUAAAUUCUCAACCCAGCAGGCCAUCAACGGACCGGUCCUUAACCGACACAGUUGGAGACACUACUUUAAGACUCCAUUCUUAAAGCAAGUCCACCGACCGGUCUCAAGUUGAAACAUCAUUGGCCAUAAGUGUAUCCCACAACAACCCUUCAAACUUUCUUGUUUGAAAACCUAUCUAGUAGCAGGGCUAAGCAUCGCUACGCAGUUUUAAAAUAAAACAGGUGUCAAGGACAGGAUAACAGAUAUCAAGGUAGUAAAUGCAGCAAGUAGGUUAACCCAAUUCUCAACUACCUAAUGCAGCAAAUUUUCAAUUCAUAAGUGAUAAAAGAUUUAAAACAUCCAAGGAGGGGUUAAUGCAUCCGGGGCUUGCCUUGGUUGCAGGGCAGAGAGGGACCCUCGGAGACUUCCCAAGUCUCGGAUCCAACUUCCUCGAACGGAGCACCGACCUCGGGGUUCGGUUCAACGGGCGCUCCUUCGGUCACGGACACUAUACGCAAAAUGAUGAAUGCUCAUGAUAUGCGUAUGGCAAUUAUGCAAGAUGGACCGAAUUAAGUACGAUUUGCUUAUUUAAUGCAAUACAGAAUUGUCACUAAAUAAAGUUAUUUAAUAACUUAAUAUUUUUAUCAAGAGGUUGCAUCUGUAAACUAAGACUUUACUUAAUUCAUAAUUAUCCUAAAUUAACUAAUUAUUAAACCUAUUUAUCUUAAUUAAUUUUUGAAUAAUUACUAAUGACAGUAAUUAAGCAUUAAGGCUAAACAAUAAUUAAAUGCCAAAGGUCAUUAGGGUUAAUGACCUCAGGUCAUCACACAAUCCCAAAACCACUCAACUCUAAUUAUGAGGAUUUAAAUAAUCACUAUUUAAAUAUUUUGGAAUUAUUACUUAAGUGUUAAAUAAGGGUUUAUUAAUAUUCUAAUCAAACAUUAUCCAAAUGACACCAAAUUUUGUGUGGAGCCAGGGAAUACCACUCAGAGGCUCCCCACAAUUUUUGGUGAUUUUUGGACAUACAAAUAAAUUAUUAAAAUUCCUAGAAGUUUUAUUCAUUAAUUAAAAGAGCAAAUUUUUACAAACAUGUAAACUACCAGAAAACAGAACUUAAUAUUUUUCUUGGGUUCUAUUUAUUUCAGAGAAUCUACACAAAAAUUUCCAUGAUUUUUGGAUUACCACACAAUUUAUUACACAAUUUCAAACAUCAAACAUUUUUAAACAAAAAGGAAAAAGAGAAAGUGCACUGUGCUGCUCUGGCGGCCUGCUUGGAUCCGGCCCAAGACGGCCCGCGAGCUCUCCCGCGUCGCGCGCGCGGGCGCUGCCCUCACACACGGCCGCUGACGGGCGGGUCCCGCCCGUCAGAGGCGUCUUCUUCCUCUCGCCACCGCUCCGGUGAGCAUAAGCUCCGCGCCGGUGAGCUCCCGGCUUCCGCAGCGAGGCGCGCUAGCUUCCCCGGUCCCUCGCGCACCCGUAGACCCCCUUUACACCCGCUCUACCUUGCCCUAGCCUCCGCGACCACGGGCACGGCGGACGGCCGCUUCGGCCGAGCAAACGCCGGCCGCCCCAGGCGAGUAGAGUGCGAAUUGAGCAACGCAAAAGUUUCGGUGGCUCACCGCGGUUCUAGUGGAGCAAGAAUCGGCAGUGGAAAGGCGUGGAGCGAAGCUGGCCACGGUGGAGGUGCUUGCGGCGGCUCUCCGGCCGGAGUUGGAGAAGAGCAGUUCGGUGGAGGGCUCUGGUGGGUUAGCGCUUGCGCUUGGGGGUGCAAUCGGUGGUGGGGCUCAAGGCGGAGCUGCUGGGGUGCUCAAGUAGCUUGGAACGGCAACGGGUGAGGCGAAUUUUGCGGUGGCGCGGGCGUAGCUCGUCGGCGUCGGGGUUCAGGGAAAGAAGAAAAUUUUCCACGGCGGCUCAGGCUUUAUCCUUGCAUCCUUGAACCGGCACUGGAUGAGGACAUCCGCGCGAGGCACGGCAGCAAGCAGCUGCGUGGCCAGGCGCGUGGCGUCGCGCGCGGAGGCGGCUCUGCCCCGGCGGCAGAGCACCCCCCCUGCCCGACCACUGUAGCUGUGCAUAUCCACUCAGUUUGGUUUUUUGUAAAAUUCGCCCAAAAUUUGAACUGAGCACAAAAUUCGUCCAAAACAAAAGUUGUGCACAAUUUCAUAAGCUACAAAACAUAUUUUGGUGACCAGAGCUGAUUUUGAGUGUAACAGGGUGAAUUUGGCCAAACAGUUUGAAAAUCAAACUCAAAUCAAAGAAAUUUCAAAUUUUUGAAUUGGGGCAAAACAGAAUUUCCAAAAUUACUUUUGAUUUUGUAUAACAACUUGAAAAACUCCCAACAUGAAAGUUGCUCAACUUUUUGUGCUCUACAACUUUCAUGUUGACCACUUUUCAAAAUUCCAAAUGGAUUUUGAAUUGGGGGUUUAAGUUGGAAAAGGGGACACUUUCUGGAAAUCUGCAUUUUCAAAAUUACUUUGAAUUUUGUAUUGAAACUUCAAAAACUCAAAACACCAAAGUUGUACAUCUUUCCAGGAUCUACAACUUUGCUUUUGAACUCAACCUCAAAUUUUGCUUAGUUUUUGAAUUGCACAAAAGGGGGCAGUUUUAGGGUUCAAAAUCAGGGUUUUCCCCCCCUUAGCUCUUCGGAAAUCUUUCACCCUAGGGUUUUAGCAUCCAACACAAGCAUCCCAACACAAUGUAAGCACACUUUAAUUUCCUAAGCACAAGCAAUAAAAUGAAACUCGUUUUAAGUUAAUGCAUACUAAGGUGCUUUAACAAUUAUGCUUUACAAUGCUUAUGAUGACAUGAUCCAUUUUCAGUAACCGUAACAUCAGGGAUGUUACAUCAUUGAUGCCCUAAAGAAAAGGUUGUACACCGAGAAUGACAGAGCGCCUGGUCGAUGGAUGAAAGAGUUACCGGCUUUGGUCUGGGGCCUCCGAACUCAGACUAGUCGGAACACGGGGGUGUCACCCUACUUCAUGGUUUACGACACCGAGGUAGUUCUACCGUCUGAUAUAACAUUCGGUUCUCCCAGAAUUGAAAACUUCGACUAGCCAACAGCCGACAUCGCCAGGGAGCUCGAAAUUAACUGCAUGGAGGAAAAGCGCCUAAAUUCAUGUCUCUGAACAGCAAAGUAUCUUGCAGCAAUCAGACGGUACCACAAUAAGAACGUCAAAGACCGUUCUUUCGUGGUCGGCGAUCUGGUACUCAGAUGGAAAACAAGCCAGGAAGGAAUGCACAAGCUGUCCACUCCCUGGGAAGGACCCUUUGUGGUCGCCGAAGUCACACGACCCACAUCCUACAGAUUGGCAUAUCCGGACGGAACACGCGUGCCCAACUCUUGGCACAUAGACGAACUGCGCCAAUUUUAUCCAUAAGUUCUAGUAACUUUUGCUUGUAAGUCUUUUAUAGUUGGCAAUAAUAAAAGUUUUCCUUUUUUGCUAUACUUUGUUCACACGCAGAGCUUUCGACGAGAACAACAAAGACCUCUGCGAUGGAGAUUCUUAACGACCAACAAUCGAACACAGUGAUACAUCACUCAGAUAACUUCACAACGCUCAAAAUAAUAGUCAUGACAAAAUCAAACUUUAUUACAAACUAUACAUACAAAGUUUACAAUAAAACACCCUGACGGGCGGUCACUAGUCUACUCCUAGAGACUAUCCUACUAGGCCUACUGCUCGGGCUGAUCACCCGCCUGGCCUCGCUGCCCGGACGAAGGGGUCGGGGCCACCGGCGCCUGGCUGGUCGAGACCGCAGGCGUCGACCGCCCAUCUGUGGCAAGGGACGCCCCCGACAACUCCCUGGCUGACCUGUCCGAACCCGGCUGGUCGGGGGGAGUGGCCGUCCCGCAUAGAUUGAUGUCGCCGAUCACCAUCGACGACAAGUCUAGCAGUCUAGCCCGAAGCUCGUCCGCCUCCUGCGGGCCGACUUCCUUGGGAUACCCCUUCUCCAGCCUGGACAAGUCGACUAGGGGGUAGUGGGCACGCACCAUGCUAAGGAUAUGCGCGCCAGCAAACUCUCCGGCGUCCUUCACGAACUGCUGGAGCCAAUCCCACGCCCGUUGCGCGUUCUCAACUGGCGUCAGUCUCGGCGCGCGGGGUUGGCUCUCCGGAAGCUCGGGGCUGAUCAAGUCCAGGACCGGGGCUACUCCUUUCCAAAUCCUACAACAGUUAACCUUCCACGAGUCCCGAUCCUUGACCAGCUCGUCCAGGUGCUUCUUGGUGUUCACCUUGAGCACUGCAAAUCAAGCAAGGUGUUAGUCUCAACAUAUCGACAAGAGCGACAAGUGGCAAAUAACGGGGGUGGCGCGUAUUACCACACAACUCCCGGUCCUUCUGGCCCAGCUCCUCCCCUACUCGGCGCCCGACCUCCAGCGCCCCGGCAAGCUCUUGGCUGAGCUGCUCUUUCUCCUGCCGAAGGCGCGCGACCUCCUCCUCCAAGUCUACACGAACAGUUAACAGGUCCGUAAAGUCAACCAUGCGGUUAUAUACAGCCGCCUCGAAGUAUGAGACUGACCUGUUCGCUGCCGAUACUGGUCGGCUAGAUGACGAGUGAGCUCGAGACGACGCUCCUCCUGGGCGCUCAUCUCGGCCACCUUUUCUCCAACCUCCGACCGCAGCCGGUCCACCUCCGCGGUCAGGGCCUUGCUCUCGGCCACAAUACCUUCUAUUUGGUCGAAGCACCUCUUUCGGUACUUUGCCGUUUUCAUUGCGCCCUGCAAGACGAACAUAUGUUGACCCAGCAAGAUAACAUAAAGGAGUCGAACAGUGCAAAGGAUCAUUUACCUUGACUUCGUCCACGAGACGCUUGGCCGCGCGCUCCACUCUGGCGGCCUCUUCUGUCUCCGCGAGCUCCUCGUGCCCGAUGAAGUGGUCCCCGCGUUGGCGCCAUACAUAUACGUGUUGGCGGCCAUCACGAGGACGCCCUUCAAUCUCCUCCACCUCGUCGCCGGAGGCCGCCUGGGUUUCCUCGCCCGCUGCAUCGCCCCCGGUGGCGGUCGCAGGCAUCACCAGCCCCUGGACCAGGCCCGAGGAGCCUGCGGUCGAAGAGACUCCUGCCCGGGGCGGCGUUGGGACCUCCCUCCUUUCGGCGGGGGGAGGGGUCAGGGCUCUUCCAUCCCCUUCCGCGACGUUACUCGGGGGAGGCGUCCCCGUAGCCUCCUCGACCCUUGUCGGGCUGUUCGCCGCAGCCCUUGUCGAGGCCGAAAGCUCCUCGGCGCUCUCAGGCACGGCUGCCGCCGCAGGCUGCGCCGCGGUCUGCGGCGCCGUGUCCUCAGCGGCACGAGCAGGCUCGGCCACCCUCUAGCCGGCGGCGUGGUCGGGGUUGACGUCCAAUGCCGCGCUAAAGAACAAAGCAGCAUUUUUAGCAAAAAAAAAAAUCGCCAAAGUACGUAAGUCGAACACUUACAGGUCUGAUCGACGAUGGGCCGCGGUGAACCUCCUCCUAGCCCUGCCGGUCGGCACCUGCGCCCCCGUUUCCGUGACGCGCGGCGCAGGAGGGUCGCUGGCCACCCGAUCAGUAGUGGCCGGUGCACUGUCUGGACGGCUACGAUUCCUUCGAACCAGCAACGGUGCGACCUCCUCCUCCUCCUCGUCGUCGUCGGUGAUCCGGACGAGCCGACGGCGCUUUGGCGCUUGGCUGCUCUCUGCCGGCAGCGUCGACGCAGGCGAAGGAUCUGCUGCCAACGGCCUUUUCCCCACCACGCUCUCCUCGGUGGUCGGGACGGGGCGGGCCUGGUCCUCCUCACUGCUGGUGUAACGAGUACACCGAGCAGCGUCUUCCUCCGGCGGAUCUUUCCCCACAGGAUUCUCCAUCCCAGGUGCCAGUGACACAUACACUGUGCACCGGUCAACAUCUCCGAUCUGCAAAAGUAACAAAGACAAGUCAGCAGCAGACAAUAACAAAUGCUAAGGACAAAUAAUAAGUAAGAUACCUUAGGUGCUGGUCGCCCCAACUUGAAGGCUUGCACCCGAUCACUACCACGGACGAAGCCCCCGUCCGCAAAGUUGAACAGCUCGUUCAACAGGUGCUGCACCUCUGCCUUCUCCAAGACCUCAGGCCGCAUCCUGGUCGGGUCCAGGCUUCCGGCGUACUCGUACGCCGAGUGCACCCUCUUCUGGCAGGGCAUCACCCGACGACACACAAAGUUGCCGACCACGCCUAGCCCGUCCAAGCGCGACCAGUCGAUCAGCUUCAUCAGGUCCGCCACUUGGCCGUCGAACUCUGGGCGGUCAGUCCAGCUUACCCUCUUCUCGGGGAUGUACCCCACGUCGCAGAACGUGGAGCUGCCCGGUUCUUCCCUGACAUAGAACCACUUCCUGUACCAUUCGGUUAGGGAAGUGUUCCAUGGACAGUGCAGAUAACGGUUCUUCAUCCCGUCGCGAAGAUUGAGGUAUACUCCACCUGCAAUCUUGGAGCCUCCAACCGCUCCCUUCUUUCUUAAACAAAAGAGAUAACGAAAGAGAUCGAAGUGUGGCUCUAUGCCGACAUAGGCCUCGCACAGAUGGAUAAAAGUGGAGAUGAGAAGGAUUGAGUUCGGGUGCAGAUUGCAAAUCCUGAUCUCAUAAUACAAAAGAAGACCCUGAAGAAAAGGAUGAACAGGAACCCCAAAACCCCUCUUAAGGAAAUCCUCAAACACUACGAUCUCACCGGCGUGGGGGUUGGGGUAGCUCUCCCCCUCCGGCGCCCUCCAGACGCCGAGCUCCGGGCUGUGCAGUAGCCCCAUAUCGACGAGGUCACCGAGGGACUUUGUGGUGCUGCGGGAUUUCUUCCAUUCCUUGGCCAUCAGCUCGGCCCUCUUCUUGGAGUCGCUCUUCGCCAUUGGAGAUGCGGGAGUGGUUUCGAGUUAGGAGGGUGCAGGUGGUUGAAGAAGGCGAGAGCGGAAAGCUUGAAGGCAAUGGCAGGGUGAGCAAUGCGGGGUUAAUGUCAGGAUUUUAUAAACCGCAACUCCACCCCCCCACUUCCCGCAUUCUUGGGAAGUGGGCAGGCCAUACGGCGGACGCGGUGUUUCGGUUUUCAAUGAUUAUCGACAAUUAAUGCGGUGGAGUCUUCGUAGAAAUUGAUGGUUUCCUUUUCUCAAAACCGCGCAAAGGGCGGCUGCACAGUUGCCAGGCGCAACUUUUCAUGUAGCCAUCUGACAUCCCGUCAGGAGGUCUCGUCACAUCAACUUUUAUGUGGUAAAAUUUUUCAAAACAAGCAGACGAAGAAUGGUAGAGAGUCAACAAUCCGUGGACUGCACUGACCACCGAGCACUUGAUGCUCGGGGACUGGUCGCCCAGUCUAUCAACUCGGAACUUCAAGGACUGCACCGACCACCGAGCACUUGAUGCUCGGGGACUGGUUGCCUAGUCUGUAGAAUCAGAAAUUCAAGGACUGCACCGACCACCGAGCACUUGACGCUCGGGGACUGGUCGCCCAGUCUGUCAACUCGGGACUUCAAGGAAUGCACCGACCACCGAGCACUUGAUGCUCGGGGACUGGUUGUCAAAUUUGUUGGGACUGCACCGACCACUGAGCGCUUGAUGCUCGGGACUGGUCGCUUAGUCUAUUAGUUCGGGAAUCAGCGGGCUGUAUCGAUCUCCAAGCAUUGUACAUGCGGGGACUGGUUGACCAGCUCGUCAAAUUGAUAAAUCUAUUCGAUGGUAAAUGAGCAUGAGAUACUCGGGGACUGGAUAAUUUUAAUUUUUUAGACCUUGAUACAAGGCUCAUACUUCGCCUUCCAGCAAGCUCGGGGACUACAUCGGUACGAUGCAUCUGGCGAUGCAUCUCAGUUUCAAAACUAUUUUGAGGACUUUUCUUUUGACCCUGGCACCACGUGCCUACGUCACCUACUACCAGGCUCGGGGACUAAGUGGGCACACUUCACCUUGCGGUGAAUAUGCUUUUUUUAAAAGUCUAUACUUUUCAGAAAAGUAAAGUGGGCACACUUCACCAGGAAAAGAAAUCUUUUUUGAUUAAGAGCACCAUGCAUUCUUCGAACAACCUGCUUCUUCGAUGUCAAUGUUGAUCAACUGUCUUUUGAGACGGUCAAAAUACCGUUGCAACUGUUUGGGCGACUUUCCUACUUAUUGAAGACGUCGAGCCUCACUGAUCGAAGAAGCUCAAGACGGCGUGUUACUUCACAAUACAUGGUUCUCGGGGACUAGCUGUGGGGGUAUAAACCCCUAUACCCUUACGGCUAGACCUGGGCCAGGAGGCUUGGCCCAUUACGAGAUAAGCUCAAGGCUUGAUCCGACAGCUUGGAGUUUCGCGCAAGGAAACAAGACGUGGAAAUCAAGCAGGAUUCUAGUCGGUUAGAAUAGGAAUUGAUAUCGAACUAUCUAUGGCAAUUGUAACCGACUAGGAUUAGUUCCCAGAUCUGUAGCCCUGCCCUCCGGACUAUAUAAGGAGGGGCAAGGGACCCCCCUAGGACACAUUGUUCUCUCAAUCCAAUACAAUCAGACGCAGGACGUAGGUAUUAUGCCAACUCGGCGGCCGAACCUGGAUAAAAAGCUUGUCCGUGUCUUGCGUCACCAUCGAGUUCGUAGUUUGCGCACCGUCUACCGAUAAACUACUACCGUGGGUAUACCCCAAGGUAGACUGCCGACUAGCUUUCGUCGACACCUGCGCCAGCAGUCUCGCAGCCAUGAUUGUGAAAGGAAUCUAGAUCCAAUCUGCGAUGACAUCGACGAUGGUCACGACCACAUCGUUUGCAAUCACCACCACUCCGACGACGUCACCGACCACAUCGACCACCCACCCUCCGCUUCCUCGCUAUAAUGGAAGGCGGGUUGACAACUCUGACCUGCUUGAGGCCAUUGAUAGGGUUGACCAAAAGCUCUUUGAAGCCCUUGACCUGGUGAAUUCGGUCUCAGGCCAGACCACCACAAUGGCACCAUCUAGCUGUUACGAAUCUGCUCGGCCAACUCAUGUUGCUACACACGAACGGCUAGGAAUGGGUCUAACAAUCACUGCUACCCCAGAAGGAUGGAACGUGCAAAUUAGGAUAGUAUCCCAGAGCAGUUGAUCGCCUUUCCCUUGCGGCUUACGCAACUCAGCCGCCCUAGCUUCGCGUCAUGCCCGCCAGCUGUUCACGAGUUCUAAGCAAAAAGAUCUGAUGCUGGAUCAGCGUAUUUCCUGUGUACAACCAACACGACACUUUGUCAACAUGGUCUCCAUCCGUACUCUACCAAAAAACGGUACCACCAGCACACACUCUAGCAGUAGCUCUGUCCCUACCGAGGUUUUACACCCCAAGGAAGAGGACUACGAUAUGGAUCUCCCUCUAUAUCCCCUGAGUUUUUCUCGCUUCCCAAUUUUUCCUCCCCGACGAGGAGAUCUGGUCCUCAAUGUUAGCAAUGAUGAGCCGAUACUCAACGGGGAGACCGACGAUCAAAGACAACAAUGCGAGCAACACAACACCAAUUGUGCUCAGCGGCGAGCACACGAGGAAGAACAACAGAGGCAGCUGAUCCCUUACAAUCUAGAUAACACUUUUGACAUGGUGGGAAACCAAUAGGUGUUUAAGACCCCAAGCACCAAUGUGGCCAUGGCUAUGGCAAAUCUCGAAUGACUCCCGAACACACCAGAGUACCAGGAUGUUCAGACCAACAUACGAGCACACCUAAUCGCUGCCAUAUGACAAAUAGUGGACCUCCUUAGGAGGGCGCAAGCUAUCUCCUAUACGGAGGCUACUUCUGGUCGGAGCCACCGAAGUCGGGUUUCACCACGGCCCGGUGGACCUUGCCAUGAUCACUCGCCGGAUGCCUUCCGGUAAGAGAACGACAACCACAACCGAGAGGUUCAUCGACACGACUGUAGUCGGGACGCUAGUCAUCGACGUCGUGCUUACGAACCGAGCCACGAUCGCAACUAGGAAGUCGGCCAGGGAAUGAACAAUGACCUCUGAUGCAGCCUCCCUCAUAGAGACAUCCAUGACCACAUUAACAAGCGCAUCAACGACAGAGCAGUGCACAAGAAUAUUCGUCAUAUCGAGUACGACGAUGUACAUGCCCCCUGGGUUGAAGCAGUUUUUUCCACAUCUCCGACAAGUCAUCUAGCCUUGAAACUUCAAGCUAGAGAAGCUCAAGAAGUAUGACGGCAAGGAGAACCUUGAGAACUGGAUCACCCUCUAUGAAAUCACCGUUCGGUUGGCCACUGGAGAUGAGCACGUAAUAGCAAACUAUUUCCCCGUCGUCCUUGAUCAAGCCGGUCAUCAAUGGCUCCUCGGCUUGCUAAAGAAUUCAUUCGACUCAUGGGAAGAGUUGCGCCAGGCAUUCAUUGACAACUUCAUAGCUACCUAUGAGCAACCAGGCAACAAGUAUGACCUCAAAAGAAGUUGGGAUCACAAGUGUAACACCCUAGUGUUAUGGUUGCAUCAUUCACAUGCAUAACAUGAGCAUCAUCAUCUUCAUAAGCAUAUCAUGAUCAUCAUUUAUCUUGGGUCAUGUCAUUUUAUGUAAAAGUAUGUUUUAACUUGCUUAAAUAUGCUUCCUAUGCUUGUGUUGCUUGAACCAUGCUCAUGUUUGUGCUCUAUGCCUUGGUAAAUAGUUCAUCUAUGCUUAACUCAACUUUUGGAACAAUGUUCAUGUUGACCACAUCUCCAAAUUAAGUACCUAAGUCAUAUUUCCUUUUAUAGGCCCUAGAAACCUCUUUUGCUUAGGCUUUUAAAAAGUGUUUCAUAAAUGUUUGCAUGUCAAAACUUUCUACAGCAAAGUUGUAGCAAAGUUUAUAAGGAACAAAAGUUGUUUUAUGGCCAUCUCAUGAAAAUGAUCACCUCAAGCUCAAAAGUGGCCCACAAUGCAGAUUUGGGGCUGUUUCCAACACUUAGAAAUUUUUCUAAGUCUGGGAAUGCAACAGUUUGCUCGAGGGUGGUUUGGACAGCUUCCAGUUUAAAAUCUAGGCCGAAUCAAGUCUUGAUCUUGUAAGCAAAGUUGAAGUCCUCAUGUAGCUCUACAGAAUGGAGCAAUUAGCCAGCAAAAUCAUCGAUCGGUUUAGGAGAUAAUCGAAGUCCAAAAUCGAGUUUCAGUCGGCUUUGAAACUGAAUGGAGGCAGCAUCAGCAGAGGGGGAGCUCGCCGGUGAUGCGGCGUGUUCGACCCGUGUCGUCCGUACGUCACCGUUGGCCCCGCUCGUUAGGUCAUCGACGCAGUCAUGGACGCCACGACGCACCGCACUCACCAACACUCGUCCACUCCCUCCCUCUCUCUCUCGCGCGCGACUCCGACGGCGGAAACACCAUUGCCAUUGUUGCCGAGAGCUCCGCGAGCUUCGCGCGUGCUCGUCUUCACGUUUCACCUCGCCUCCACGCGUCUCCAAGACCGCUUCGAGCUCCUCCAUCUUCUUCACCCCUUGGUUGGACGAGAUCUUCCCGAGGUGAGCCGCAUUUUGCGAGUUUGCUGUCGUCGGGUUCACGGCCGUCGCGACCCCGAUUCCGACGAACCUCGCCACUGCUCUGUCCUUGCCUUCCUUCUUCCCUUCGAGUCACGUUAGAGUCUGUUUAGGUCUCGGUUGUGGUCCGUGCCACGCCAUUCCGGCUUUGGUGCCACCGUCGUGCGGGAACACGACCACCGCACCGCCGCGCUCACCGCCGACGAGCACCCCGCACGUGAGCAGACUCACUGGAGCCAUUAGGGUUAGGCGUUUCUACCUAGAAAGCUCUGCACUGUCUCACUGGUGCUUAAGCCGCUCUUCCCCGACGCUCUACCGGUCGGAGAUGGCCGGCGUAAGUGUUGACGGUCCUUAAUGCUCACAUUUAACCAUCAACUAAUCAUGGAAAAGGAUCCAAAUGCAAGCAACACCUAGACUUAGGGUUUUAUCUGACAGAAUUCCAUGAGUUUUGGUGUUUGUCUAUUUCUGCAGGGGGUUAUCAGGAAAUACGGAGGAAAGGCCCACACGUCGGGUUUACAUAGAGAUAUUAAUGUGCCGCGCAAUUUUCUAUCAUCUAGAAGACUCCAGAAGCCAUGGGAAGGAAGCGGAGGCCGAACGGGGCCAGGGACUGGGCGCCCGCCCAGUUGCCCUGGGCGCCCGCCCUCAGCCAGAGUCCAAUCAGGACUCUCUUUCGGGAUAUUGCUCCACCGACCUAAAGGAUCAAGGAUAACCGUUCAAUCAAUGUCGGUUUGAUCCAACGGCCCAUAUUCACUUGAAGGGACUAUAAAACCAGACCCCCCUGGCCCCUGGAGAUCAUACCUCUUCUACAGAAUCAAAGUUAGAGUUUCAAUUCUUCAUCCAAGUAGAGAGGAUCCCUCUAGUUCUUCUAGUUCUACCUCUAGUUCAUCUAGAUCUAGUUCUAGUUCAUUUAGUUCUAGUUCUAGUUCCUCUAGUUCUAGUUCUAGUUAGUUCUAGUUGUAAUCUAGAACAUAGGGAGAGAGAAGAGGAGAGCGGAGGAGGAGCCGGAUCUGUCGGAUCAUCCUCAACAUUAUACUUUUGCAGCAUCUGGUUUGUUCUUCAUCGUUCUCCAGGUUCUUUAAUUCAUAAUUCCUGAGUUCUUUAAUUACUUUUAUUUACAUUCAAGUUAUUUAUUGGAUUCCCGCUUGCAUCAAGUGCUGUAGUCUUUAUAACGCUACAGUAGUAAUUAAUAGAUUAGACGUGGUGUUUAGUCUUGCGAUUACCUGGAAUUGCACCCAAUCCUGCGGAUUGUUGUGGUAGCCUUAGGGUAGUGACAGCCCUAACGGUCGACGUAUUCCACCACGUUCGGAUCGGUGUUUGUAGGACCGUAGUCAGACCUUCCUAGCCCCCUUCUCAUCUCUUUCUGUGGUUAGUGCUCUGAUGUCCCGAUAUAGAUAAUCUUGAAGUAAUUCUUGAUUCUUAGAUCAACUAGAGAACUCUCAGGAAACUUCCUCUCUUCCCACCAAAAAUAAUUAUAUAGUUAUCCUUGGGCGAUCUUGGAUCUUAAUUAGUACACUCACGUUCUCUGUGGAAAAUCGAUACUCUGGAAUACUCCCGGGUGAAAGCUACAUCGGUAUCCGUGCGCUUGCGGAUUUUUCUGUUUGCGUUUAAAAUACCCAACAAGCUUUCUGGCGCCGUUGCCGGGGAACGGUAGCUGUGCUAGUUUCGAACCAAGUCGUCCGUGUAUCCUUUUUCUUUUCCUUUUUUACCACACUCACCUUAUCAUUUUCACCAUACCACAUGGAUUUCACUCUAAGCAUUAAUGAGCAUGGAAUUUAUUUCAUAGCCACUUCAUUUACUCCAUGCUCAUAUGCAACAUCUUCACAAUCCAUUGGUCUCUCCAACAUCACGACAUUCGAGAUCUCCAACCCCCUCAUCCUUUCUAUCUAUAAAAACUUUAAAAGGGCGGUUGUCGAUGCAUAUGUCUAUAGGAAAUAUUGCAGAUCUCGUUGAGUUGAUCUUGAUAUAGGUCAGCGUUGGAGGGGAAACCACUUCACUGACAUAAAUUGAUGGUUUCCCAAGGACAAGCUUAGUGUCCUAAAACAAGCACUGAUUAGAUCACAACAUGAGCUUUUAAUUAUUUGCCACAUUACCUUGUGAGUUGAGCAUAUAAGGAUAAUUGUAAAAAAAUUCCUUCGGGUAUUCUUGUCACUAACCUUUUCAGGAUUGGAGCAAGAAGAUCGGAUGAAUGACAAGCACAAGGUAUGUCCAACCAACCAUCAUACAACAUUGAAUUAAAUUCAUCCAAACUUGAAUUUUGCAAAAUUCAAGCUUGGGGGAGUACUUUACAUUAAAAACAUUCUUUGCCAUGUUGCUAUGUUGGUUGUCCCUACCUUUGAGACAUGCUCAAUUUGUUAAAUACUAAUCACACUACUUCAUCUCCACUUGAGUAGAUCUCUAUAAAUGCUCUCAUGCUACCUUUAUUUGCUUUAGUAUAUGUCUAGGUUUGGAGUAGUUUCAUUUAUCUCUUAAUUAAGCAUGGUGCUUAGUUUAGGAAUGAUGAUGUUACUUCCAAAGGAUUUUAAAUUAAGCAUGAUGCUUAGGUUAAAAUUCCCUCCUAAAUCAAAUUAGACAUGGUGUCUAGGUUGAUCUUUGAGCCGAUAGUAUGCUAUAGUAGAUAUUGGAUAUUUUGUUGGACUAACCCCUGCAGGAAAACUUUCAAUAUCAACCUGGGAGGUCCUGAGAUAAACUCACAUUGGAGACAAAGUGAGAGGCACAUAAAGUUUAACAAUUUACAUGAGGAAGACAUAGCUCACAAGAGAUGAUCCAUGGAGGGUGCCACAAACACGAUGCAUAACCGCUAAGAAAGGAAAGUUUCCACAAGGUGAUACUAUACCAUCACUCUUCAAGUAAGGUAAUAUCUUAAGGUACUUGACUAUCACUUUUAUAAGUUUCUCCUUGGUUCUGGCAUUCACAUGAAUAAAAGAGACAAACAUGUAUGAUUUACAACUCUAGAUUAACCAACCCAAUCGAUUCAAUAUGUUUAGUCCUUUCAUCUUUGUGAUCCCACACUCCUAAUCAUAUGAGCUAAACUGUUGCACACUCAAUCUUUGGAAGAUAUAUAUAAAAGAAACAACAUAAAUAUAGAUAGAUUAUCUUUCCAUUAGGUUGAGCGAUCUGAUCUGACAAAUGUUUUAAAUCCUACACUCAUGAUCUUAUUAUCCAUCAACUUUGUCUUGCUCACUAUGCUUAAGGUUAGAGAAGAACAAAUACACUUUUUGUUCUGUUGGUGUUUUCCACCAACAGGGCCCAUGCACUUGAUCUCUGCCUUGUCUCUAUGAGCAGGUACACUUCGAGCAAAAUAUGAAGGAGUUUUACAACUCCCAGACUCCACCAUGUGAAGAACCUAGAUCUACGAGCACAAACACACUGGAGAUACUGGACACUCAGGCAAUCACUGCCAUGAGAUGCUUGAGGACGUAACUAAUGGAGUAACCCCGUUGUGGAAGUAAUUACUGACCUUCUGCCGGUCAAGAGAGACAAUCCAGGACGCCCCGUCAUCCCGAUCUCCAUCGGCAUGGUGGACUUCCCAGAAGCACUCUGCGACUUUGGCUCCAGCGUCAACAUUAUGCUCAGGGUACUCUAUGAAAAAUUCUUUACACAUCCUUUCCUAGAAACAACCAUGUGUUUGCAGCUUGCAGAUCGUACGCUAAGUUUCCCAAAGAGAAUAUUGAACAACCUCUUCGUCCGAGUUGGUACCUUGUACGCCCCAGCAGACUUCGUGGUGAUAGAGACUGGUACUGAUGAGAGGGCACCCAUCCUAGGGAGGCCAUUCCUGAACACCUCGGGAGCUGUCAUCUACGCUAGUGCUGCCAAGAUCAGUUUCUACAUCAAGGGGAAGAAAGAGACGUUUUCCUUCAAGAAAAAGACUACACAAUUCUUAGAGCAAUCCUGACAUGAACCAAGGAAGAGGACCAACAGGAGGAACAGGAAUAAGCAAAUGUAAACCAAGUCAGCUAAGAUGGUCACUGCAGUUCAAGAAGGUCAAGAUUGUCGAUUUAAGUCACCGUUCCUGACCAAAAAGGACGACCCAGGCAUGCCAAGCAUCCAGUGCUCCAUUAACGGAUACAACUUCUAGAAGACGCUUUGCGACACCGGGUCAGGCAUCAACAUAAUGGCCACAGUCACUUUUCAGCUCCUGCAUGGAACCAUGUCCCUACAACCAACAUACAUUCAGCUCCAGAUGGCAGAUCAGACAUUCUGAAAGAUUGAAGGUUAUUGACAUGGGAUAAGACGAGUACGAUCCACCCAUCAUCCUUGGAAAACCGUUCCUCAACACUAUCAAAGAAAUCAUCUACAUUGGAACCGGAGAAGUCCACAUAUACUUCCCCUCUGAGAAGGUACGCAGCUAUUUUACUGACCUUAACUAUAUAGUUGAAGACUCUAAGCAGGUCAGGACAAGAAGAAGACAACGCAACCGCAACCAGAGGAGGCAAAUCAUCAAGGACGGAUGGGUAGACUACGAAGGAGAAGUGAUAAGGACUGAAGACAUACAGCUUGAACAGAACUGUCCUGAGGAGACCAGGAGACCGUAGCACCAAUUCAGGUGUGGGGAGAGAAGAUAGUUACACACGAAGAGGAGGCGCCGCCGGAACCACCGACUACGCCACAUAGCGAAUCCCAGGACGACUGAAAACACAAGGAGUCCCAUUCGGAGGACUUAAAAACACCGAACACCUUGCCAAGUGGUAAACUUGGUAGUUAUCCUUUUCCUUUCAAUUAUUCAAUUAUAAUUUGCUUAGUUAAUCAGGUUCAUAUCAUCUUAAAAAGAAAAUAAAAAUGUUAAAAAUAGUAAGCCCCAUGUGAGUAUGCUCAUGGCAUAAAACCCAUAAGUACAUUCACUGUGGUGGCGUAAAAAUAAAAUAAAUAUAUUCCUGUCCUGUAAAAAUAAAAUUAUAAAAAUAAAUUUAUGAUCCUACUAAAAAGAGUAACAUUUAUUGAGGAGGCUCAACAUGAUAAAGGCUAGAUAUUUAUGCUAACACUUAACCAGUUCCACAAAGCUUUGUUGUCUAUUUGAGCUCCACAAAAUUCAAGGAUCAAAGAAGACUCCUAAGCACUGUCAGGGUGCUGCCGACAUUCAAGUACACCUCCGCCACCUGCUACAUCAAAAGGAAUUACGUCAAAAUCCAGCUUGGGGGAGAGCAACCCCAUUUAUCCAGCUAAGUGUUCUACUCACGUUUAUAUUUUACUCAAAUAAUAAAAAAGAUGCACAAUCAUAAAAACCCAAAUAAAGAUUUUGUGCUUAUAUAUAUAUAUAUCUUUGCUUAGUUUGCUAAAUAAAUAAAUAAAUAAAAUUUGCUAUGAACCCUCAUGAUAAGCUCUCACAUGGAAAUGAUGAAUAGUUGCUCUGCCAUGACUAGUUCUCAAAAUUGAAAUCUCUCUCAAGUUUAGGCCUAACUGUUAUAAAUUAAGAUUUGCUCUAAACCUAAACUUGUGGGAAGAGUACUUGAUCUGAAGUCUAAGUCGUUAACGGAUAUGAUAUGGGAAGGUUGAGCUGUUGUUUAUCUGUUCCUAGAGAUGCUAGAAUUCUGGAGAAUUUUAUCUUUGAAAAUCUUUAAAAUAUUGCAUGAUGAGUUCCAGUAUGAUGAGAGUUUAAAAUCCUACCACAGCCACAUAUACAUGCUUAUUAGACUAUGAACCAUACAUUUACUUUUUACUGCUUAUGAGCAUUGAGUGUGGUCAAGCUUUGUAGACCCUUAGGAGCUUGUCAUGUGGUUAAAUUAAGAUUCACUUGCACGUUCACUCACACAUGCUGCUUCUACUCUGGAAGUACGCAUCCACAUGUAUCCACCCAUUUCCAUCUCUAGAAUCACCUAAAAAUAUUCUACUCCUAAUCCAGGAGAGAAUAGCCAAAAACAUUUCUGUUUUCCCUUGUGAAAUAAAUGCUCAAGUUAUCUUGUUACUACCACUUGCUAUAUUAUCUCAUGAGAUGAGUGCUCUAAAAAAAGAAAAAAAAAGAGAGAAGAAAAAAAAUACGAGGAAAUAAAAAGGGGCAAGUGCCCGGAACCUCGAAAGAAAAAAAAGUGAGACGAGAGGUAAAAAUGGACAAGUGUCCGACAGUAGAAUUAGGGGUACAAGAUACCCACCUGAGAGAAGAAAAAUAUAUAUAUAGAGCAUCUCAUUCUCCUCAAAAAGUUCCAAAAGAGCAAGAAAGGUAUGUAUCCCCUCAAAAGAGCAUAAGUAGAAUUAGACUUUCACCAUUGUUAUCACCAUCAUCACCAUACACCAUUCAUUCGCCACACAUGCACAUCUUGAUUUGACUUAUUGACUUGUUCUUCUGGAUCCAUAGUUUGACUAUGCAAUAAAUGUCUUGUAAGUAUGUAUUAGCUGUGUCCCACCUAUGAGCUCCAGAUAUCAAAGGCCUUAUUAGAGUAGGGUGAGAGAGAAGGCAAUGCCACUAUGCCUUAUACCACAAAUACCACAUACUUUGAGAGAAGGCAUACACCAUUAAUGCCUUGGUAAGGAUCCAGAAAUACCACAAAAGAGAGACUAGAGAGAGUCAUACAAGGAAUCUCUGAGUUUUAUUUGAAAAUAUGCAAAAACUCCAGAGCUAUAGUUAAUCGAAGAACAAGAGACAUGGCGCUUGACUAGACCGUUCUAUCUUUUAACUGCUCAAGACACAAGUGACGGUUACAAGCCCCAUGGUGGAAGGUAAAUGAGUAAGUUUUAAGUCCUCUAACCAGAGAUGAGAUCUUGUUUAAACGCAUGUGUAUCUUUAAGUUAUGAAACCACUGCAGAAACUCUUGAGUUCAUCUUUGCUCAGGGACGAGCAAAGGUUAAGCUUGGGGGAGCUUGUUGACGGUCCUUAAUGCUCACAUUUAACCAUCAACUAAUCAUGGAAAAGGAUCCAAAUGCAAGCAACACCUAGACUUAGGGUUUUAUCUAACAGAAUUCCACGAGUUUUGGUGUUUGUCUAUUUCUGCAGGGGGUUAUCAGGAAAUAUGGAGGAAAGACCCACACGUCGGGUUUACAUAGAGAUAUUAACGUGCCGCGCAAUUUUCUAUCAUCUAGAAGACUCCAGAAGCCACAGGAAGGAAGCGGAGGCCGAACGGGGCCAGGGACUGGGCGCCCACCCUCAGCCAGAGUCCAAUCAGGACUCUCUUUCGGGAUAUUGCUCCACCGACCUAAAGGAUCAAGGAUAACCGUUCAAUCAAUGUCGGUUUGAUCCAACGGCCCAUAUUCACUUGAAGGGACUAUAAAACCAGACCCCCCUGGCCCCUGGAGAUCAUACCUCUUCUACAGAAUCAAAGUUAGGGUUUCAAUUCUUCAUCCAAGUAGAGAGGAUCCCUCUAGUUCUUCUAGUUCUACCUCUAGUUCAUCUAGAUCUAGUUCUAGUUCAUCUAGUUCUAGUUCUAGUUCCUCUAGUUCUAGUUCUAUUUAGUUCUAGUUGUAAUCUAGAAAAUAGGGAGAGAGAAGAGGAGAGCGGAGGAGGAGCCGGAUCUGUCGGAUCUUCCUCAACAUUAUACUUUUGCAGCAUCUGGUUCGUUCUUCAUCGUUCUCCAGGUUCUUCAAUUCAUAAUUCCUGAUUUCUUUAAUUACUUUUAUUUACAUUCAAGUUAUUUAUUGGAUUCCUGCUUGCAUCAAGUGCUGUAGUCUUUAUAACGCUAGAGUAGUAAUUAAUAGAUUAGACGUGGUGUUUAGUCUUGCGAUUACCUGGAAUUGCACCCAAUCCUGCGGAUUGUUGUGGUAGCCUUAGGGUAGUGACAGCCCUAACGGUCGACGUAUUCCACAACGUUCGGAUCGGUGUUUGUAGGACUGUAGUCAGACCUUCCUAGCCCCCUUCUCAUCUCUUUCUGUGGUUAGUGCUCUGAUGUCCCGAUAUAGAUAAUCUUGAAGUAAUUCUUGAUUCUUAGAUCAACUAGAGAACUCUCAGAAAACUUCCUCUCUUCCCACCAAAAAUAAUUAUAUAGUUAUCCUUGGGCGAUCUUGGAUCUUAAUUAGUACACUCACGUUCUCUGUGGAAAAUCGAUACCCUGGAAUACUCCCGGGUGAAAGCUACAUCGGUAUCCGUGCGCUUGCGGAUUUUUCUGUUUGCAUUUAAAAUACCCAAC
rnacentral:lncRNA from 1 species